rnacentral:rRNA from 1 species
AUGAACGCUGGCGGCGUGCCUCAUCCCUGCCAGUCGAGCGAACAGACGAGGAGCUUGCUCCUCUGACGUUAGCGGCGGACGGGUGAGUAACACGUGGAUAACCUACCUAUAAGACUGGGAUAACUUCGGGAAACCGGAGCUAAUACCGGAUAAUAUAUUGAACCGCAUGGUUCAAUAGUGAAAGACGGUUUUGCUGUCACUUAUAGAUGGAUCCGCGCCGCAUUAGCUAGUUGGUAAGGUAACGGCUUACCAAGGCAACGAUGCGUAGCCGACCUGAGAGGGUGAUCGGCCACACUGGAACUGAGACACGGUCCAGACUCCUACGGGAGGCAGCAGUAGGGAAUCUUCCGCAAUGGGCGAAAGCCUGACGGAGCAACGCCGCGUGAGUGAUGAAGGUCUUCGGAUCGUAAAACUCUGUUAUUAGGGAAGAACAAAUGUGUAAGUAACUAUGCACGUCUUGACGGUACCUAAUCAGAAAGCCACGGCUAACUACGUG